GACGAACGCUGGCGGCGUGCUUAACACAUGCAAGUCGAACGGAAAGGCCCUGCGUUUGUGGGGUGCUCGAGUGGCGAAAGGGUGAGUAACACGUGAGUAACCUGCCCUUGACUUUGGGAUAUCUUCAGGAAACUGGGGCUAUUACCGGAUAGGAGCUCCUGCUGCGCGGUGGGGGUUGGAAAGUUUCGGCGGUUGGGGUUGUCCUCGCGGCUUCUCGGCUUGUUGGUGGGGUAGUGGAUUAGCAAGGCUUUGACGGGUAGCCGGCCUGAGAGGGUGGCCGGCGCCAUUGCUACUGCGCUACGCCCCAGAAUCCUACGGGACGCAGAAUUGGAGAGUAUUGCAGAGUAGGCCGAAGCCUGUUGCAGCACCGCCCCGUCCGGGAUGACGGCUUUCUGGUUUUAAACCGCUUUCGACUGUGCCGAAGAGUGCGUGACGGUACUUGGUAAAGAAGCCCCGGCUAACUACGUG
rnacentral:rRNA from 1 species